rnacentral:rRNA from 1 species
GAGCACGUAGGUGGGUUUGUAAGUCAGAUGUGAAAGCCUUCUGUUCAACGGAAGAAUUGCAUCCGAAACUGCGAGUCUUGAGUGUAGGAGGGGAGAAUGGAACUUCUGGUGGAGCGGUGAAAUGCGUAGAUAUCAGAAGGAACGCCGGCGGCGAAAGCGAUUCUCUGGCCUAUUACUGACACUCAGUGUGCGAAAGCUAGGGGAGCAAACGGGAUUAGAUACCCCGGUAGUCCUAGCCGUAAACGAUGGGCACUAAGUAGAGGGGUUUUA